rnacentral:rRNA from 1 species
GAUGAACGCUGACAGAAUGCUUAACACAUGCAAGUCAACUUGAAUUUGGGUUUUUAACUUCGGUUUGGGUGGCGGACGGGUGAGUAACGCGUAAAGAACUUGCCUCACAGCUAGGGACAACAUUUGGAAACGAAUGCUAAUACCUAAUAUUAUGAUAAUAGGGCAUCCUAUAAUUAUGAAAGCUAUAAGCGCUGUGAGAGAGCUUUGCGUCCCAUUAGCUAGUUGGAGAGGUAACGGCUCACCAAGGCGAUGAUGGGUAGCCGGCCUGAGAGGGUGAUCGGCCACAAGGGGACUGAGACACGGCCCUUACUCCUACGGGAGGCAGCAGUGGGGAAUAUUGGACAAUGGACCGAGAGCCUGAUCCAGCAAUUCUGUGUGCACGAUGAAGUUUUUCGGAAUGUAAAGUGCUUUCAGUUGGGAAGAAACAAAUGACGGUACCAACAGAAGAAGUGACGGCUAAAUACGUG